AUGCUCGUUAGUUAUGGCAAACAAUAGGUGCUUGCUUGGGAACAUAGGUAUUUUGUACCUUUAAUGAGCAAUUGAUACAUUAUUGGGAAAUUAUAGUUGAUAGGGAGUUUGAACCAAGGAAAAGGUUUUUCUUCUUUUAUUCAAACGUUUCAAUUUCUUUGGUUCUGCUAUAAGGAAGUAACUCAAGAAACUGCCUCCGUUGGACUGGAUAAAUAUGUCUAUUUUCUUUGAAUAGGGAAAAGCAGGAAGAAUGAUGGAACUAGUAGAAAUCAAGUUUUGAGGUCAGAAAAUAUAAAUAUUAUACUUUGUACUCCUUUUCAAAAAUACUUAAUUAGUCGAAUUUUCGCCAUUUUUCUAUGUCGCUAAGCACUCAUAUUGCAAAUUUUUUACUAAAAAAAUAACGCUAUGAAAGAAAUUAAACAUAGAUAGGUUUUAGCUCUUUUUUUUUUCCUACUCAACUUAUCCAACCUAAUACACUAAAGUACCUUUUGUUUACAUUUUCUAAUACU